UACGUAGGGUGCAAGCGUUAAUCGGAAUUACUGGGCGUAAAGCGUGCGCAGGCGGUGAUGUAAGACAGGUGUGAAAUCCCCGGGCUUAACCUGGGAACUGCAUUUGUGACUGCAUCGCUGGAGUGCGGCAGAGGGGGAUGGAAUUCCGCGUGUAGCAGUGAAAUGCGUAGAUAUCGAGAGGAACACCAGUGGCGAAGGCGGGUCCCUGGACAACACCUGACACUGAGGCACGAAAGCUAGGGGAGCAAACAGG
rnacentral:rRNA from 1 species